rnacentral:tRNA from 1 species
UGGGAUAUAGCUCAGUUGGUAGAGUGUUUGCCUCACAUGUACAAGGCUACGGGUUCAAUCCCUAAUACAA